ensembl:lncRNA
CUUUCCUCGGGUUUCGGAUUUCCGCCGGGGGGGUGGAAAUGGAGGUUGAUCGCGUGUCAGCCGUGCGUAAUUGGCCACGGUUAAGGCGGUGCAGUGAUUUAUUGGGUUUGCCAAUUUCUACCGUAGGUUUAUACGGGGCUUCGGCAAGGUGGCAGCUCCUAUUACUUCCUUAUUGAAGGGUGGGCCGAGUCGGAUCACCUGGACGACCGUGGCAGACGUCGCAUUUCGCACCCUUAAGAGAAUGUUCACCUCCGAAUGCCCCGGUUCUGGCUCACCCCGAUCCGUCACUGCCGUUCAUAGUGGAGGUGGAUGCCUCGGAGGUGGGGAUAGGUGCUGUAUUGUCCCAACUGUCGGGUACCCCUCCUAAGCGUCGCCCCUGCGCUUUUUACUCGCGAAAGCUCAGUGAGGCAGAGCGCAACUAUGGCGUCGGUGACAGGGAGCUGUUGGCUGUGUUUAACGCCUUGACUAUUUGGAGACAUUGGCUCGAGGGAGCGAGACACCCGUUUGUAGUCUGGACCGACCACCGUAACCUGGAGUACAUCCGGGCGGCGAGGAGACUGAACCCUCGCCAGGCCAGGUGGGCGUUUUUUGCCCGGUUCGAUAUCACUCUUUCAUACGUUCCGGGUACGAAAAACGCCAAGGCAGACGCGCUGUCUCGGUUGUGCGACGCGGUUGAAAGGCGGGUAGAUGAUACACCGAUUCUGCCCGCCUCGUGCAUUGUGGCGCCGGUUGUGUGGGACAUGGACGCGGACAUUCAGCGAGCGUUACGCAGCGGUCCUGGGCCACCUCAGUGUCCUGCAGAUCGUCAGUACGUUCCGCUGGAUGUUCGUGACCGUCUCAUCUACUGGGCCCACACGUCCCCUUCCACUGGUCACAUAGACCGUACUGUGCGCUGCCUUACCGAUAAGUACUGGUGGACUGGCCUGGCCAAGGAUGUGAGGGCGUACUUGUCCUCCUGUUCGGUGUGCGCUCAGUGUAAGGCACCUAGACACCUUCCGGCGGGCAAUACCACAGUCCUGGUUGUUGUGGAUCGGUUUUCAAAGGCCUGCCGGUUCCUUCCUCUCCCUGGUCUCCCGACGGCUCUGCAGACCGCAGAGGCUUUAUUCACCCAUGUCUUCCGGCACUACGGGGUGCUGGAGGACAUUGUUUCUGACUGGGGCCCCCAGUUCACGUCUCGGGUCUGGAAGGCCUUCAUGGGCCGAUUGGGGGUCUCGGUCAGCCUCACCUCCGGGUUCCACCCCGAAGCUAAUGGGCAGGUGGAGCGUGUGAACCAGGACUUGGGGAGGUUCCUGCGGUCCUAUUGCCAGGACCGGCCGGGGGAGUGGUCGGAGUUCCUGCCCUGGGCAGAGUAUGCUCAGAAUUCACUCCGCCACUCCUCCACAUCCCUGACUCCUUUUCAGUGUGUCCUGGGGUACCAGCCGGUCUUGGUGCCCUGGCAGAGCCAGCCCGAGACUGGGGUUCCGGCGGUGGACGACUGGUUCGCCAGAAGUCCGCUGCUGACCGCCGGCGUAACGACACCCCGGUCUACGCUGUGGGCGACCAGGUCUGGCUCUCGACCCGGAACCUCCCUCUCCGCCUGCCCUGCCGGAAGCUGGGCCCGCGGUUUGUAGGGCCAUUCAAAGUCCUGGGGAGAGUGAACGAGGUAACCUAU